rnacentral:rRNA from 11 species
UGUGAACAAUGGACAUCUUGGUUCUAGCAACGAUGACGAACGCAGCGAAACGCCAUACGUCACGGUAGUGUGAAUGGCAGGGCUCAGUGAACCAUCGAAAUGUUGAGCGCGAAAUGCGCGAAUG